rnacentral:rRNA from 1 species
GACGAACGCUGGCGGCGUGCUUAACACAUGCAAGUCGAACGGAAAGGCCCUGCUUUUGUGGGGUGCUCGAGUGGCGAACGGGUGAGUAACACGUGAGUAACCUGCCCUUGACUUUGGGAUAACUUCAUGAAACUGGGGCUAAUACCGGAUAGGAGCUCCUGCUGCAUGGUGGGGGUUGGAAAGUUUCGGCGGUUGGGGAUGGACUCGCGGCUUAUCAGCUUGUUGGUGGGGUAGUGGCUUACCAAGGCUUUGACGGGUAGCCGGCCUGUGAGGGUGACCGGCCAAAUUGGGACUGAGAUACGGCCCAGAAGCCAACGGGAGGCAGCAGUGGGGAAUAUUGCACAAUGGGCGGAAGCCUGAUGCAGCAACGCCGCGUGCGGGAUGACGGCCUUCGGGUUGUAAACCGCUUUCGCCUGUGACGAAGCGUGAGUGACGGUAAUGGGUAAAGAAGCACCGGCUAACUACGUG